AUUGAACGCUGGCGGCAUGCUUUACACAUGCAAGUCGAACGGUAACAGGCCUUCGGGUGCUGACGAGUGGCGAACGGGUGAGUAAUGCAUCGGAACGUACCCAGAGGUGGGGGAUAACGCAGCGAAAGCUGUGCUAAUACCGCAUGUGAUCUGAGGAUGAAAGCGGGGGACCGAGCAGCAAUGUUUGGCCUCGCGCCUUUGGAGCGGCCGAUGUCGGAUUAGCUAGUUGGUGGGGUAAAGGCCUACCAAGGCGACGAUCCGUAGCUGGUCUGAGAGGACGACCAGCCACACUGGGACUGAGACACGGCCCAGACUCCUAUGGGAGGCAGCAGUGGGGAAUUUUGGACAAUGGGCGCAAGCCUGAUCCAGCAAUGCCGCGUGCGGGAAGAAGGCCUUCGGGUUGUAAACCGCUUUUGGCAGGAACGAAACGGUCUCCGCUAAUACCGGGCGCUAAUGACGGUACCUGCAGAAUAAGCACCGGCUAACUACGUG
rnacentral:rRNA from 1 species